CAACUUCACAUAUCCGUUUAGAAUUUUUUCCUUCUUUUUACACGUGUCGAUGCAUUUCUUUCAUUUUACAAUCAACCAGCGACAGCAAUGGUUUCUUUCAAAGAAUUACAAAGUUUUAAUAAAGUUUGUUACAGCUAAAAUUGUAAUUAACAAAAGUUGAAUGGAUGAAAUGAAGUGAAACAUUUACUAAAGAUGUGUUGUGGAAACACAUAUUGAGUUAUCAUUCAAGACUAUGGAGGGAAUUUUCUAUUUAGCUGUGUGUUCAUUUUAAAGACUUGAAACAUGUUGCUAAUUGAAAAUUGUGUUAGUAAAGCAUUCAGAUAACAGCCAAUGGGUUUCCCUAAAAAGCUGGAAAACUAUGUAUUUCUUAAAUAACUAAAUUUAGACGUCUAACGUUUUAACAAAAGCUCAUUACAAAAAUUGUUUAUAUGGCCAAAGGUGCACCAUUUGCUACUAGUUGUACCCUUAAAGAUUGAUGCCUGAUCAAAAAUCUUUAUAAAUGGAUGGUUUAGGCUGCCAUAGCAUUAUGAUGUGUUAUUGAAGAAAUAAAGAAAAUAUUUAAAAAAAAGUUAACAAAUCUUUUAUUUAUGUG